rnacentral:lncRNA from 1 species
CAAAAGGCUUUCAUGACCUCAUAUAAUAAAAUGUGUUCAAAGAGCAUCUGUUUUGCCAUACUCUGAUGCUCGAAUUAAACGACACAACCCAAUUCGGCCGUCGUCGCAAAGCAUGGAGUACACUUACUAUUCAAAUAUGCUCGAACCAUAACAUAAGAAUGCUGCACAGCUUCGACAAAAGGCUAAGACGGAUGACCUCUCGCAUCCGUAAUCUUCUUCGGCAGCGGUAAAUGCACCCCCGCGACACUCGGCUGCUCGCUCGCAUUCGGCAGCAACCUGCCUUUAUCAUCCGUCGGUGGCGGUGGGAUGUGCAUGAGAAGAUGACGGCGGCUUUCACUCCUUCCCAUCAGUUCACGUGGAUUCUGAAACAAUCCAACAAACACUUGAUGAGCCAUACGGGAAAGAAAGAAAAAAGAGAGAGAGAGAGAGAAAGAGAAAGCAAGAAAGAAGAUGCGGCGACCUCGCCACGAUUCCAAUCGGCCGCUGCAUUUAAUGAGCUACCGACUCUUCCACAUGCUUUUGGUCUGUUCAUCGAUCGCCGUCGACGUGCAGCUGAAGACGUGGCG